GGUUCUUAUGUCUUAGAGUUUACCAACAUGUAUAUAUUUGUGUUUGCAUUGAGCAUAAUGCAGCGACUACGUCUUUUGUGUGUGUCUCUCUCUGUGAGAAAGAAAGAAAGAAAGAAAGAAAGAAAGAAAGAAAGAAAGAAAGAAAGAAAGAAAGAAAGAAAGAAAGAAAGAAAGAAAGAAAAAAUAAACAAAAGCAGACUUUUUUGAACUCAAUUAAAGCCCUUUUUGGUCCUCUAAGGAAAGAAAAUGUGCUGAAAUACAAACAGAUAAAAAAAGUGUCGGAAUUUGACUGGAUUUGUAAAAGAUGAGAACAUCAUUCAGCCAUCAUCAGAUAAGUUACUUCCUGCAGAAAAUGGGAACAUGCACAACGACCUACAGCCAGAUGUUAAACAGAGGGAGACCUUGGAAUGCAUAUCUAUAAACUGGUAUCUCCAUCAAAUCUGUCUUCUUGCAGCUCAGAACCUCAAGAAAGAGGAGGCAAAAUGGGUGAGGCACAGGAAAGGCCUCUAAAUCAAAGUUCACAUGAAUUUAUAGAGAUAGUAUAGCAGCAGUCACAGGUCCUACCUGGGUCUUCAACAGGUCGUAUGCAUAUAGACUAUUGCAUAUAUACUUAGGAAAAUUUUGCAUAUCCUGAAUGUGUAAAAA
rnacentral:lncRNA from 1 species